rnacentral:tRNA from 2 species
GGGGGUGUAGCUCAGUUGGCUAGAGCACCUGCUUUGCAAGCAGGGGGUCGUGGGUUCGAGUCCCAUCUCCUCCA